rnacentral:lncRNA from 10 species
GGCAGGCUGACGUGGGGGCGGCCGGGCACUGCCUGCGUGGUCGAGCUGGCUGCCCCCUCAGCCGCCUGCCUUUGUGCCUCCAGCCUCCUUGGCUCCCUGAGUGCCUCACUUUGCCUUCUCCCCUGUUUCUCCCACCUCUGAGGCCGAGUAGCAGAAGUCAGAAGCUGGUGUCCAAGAGCCCCAAGAAGCAUGGUUAUGUCCCCUGAAGCCCUGGUCCACAUGAAGCUCUUCCUGCUUUUCUUCAGAGGAAGAUGCAGGAGCUGGUUAAUGGAAUGGAUUUUGCAUUCAGACAUCUCUUGGGGCUGCCUGUAGGUGGAUAUGUUCAUGGAAGACGGUGAAAAAGACAAGAAUAGGAUUUGCUGUAUAGAAUCACUAUAGUCACCAUCACACUGAGUAUCAACAACAUCUCUUGUUAUCCUCACAACUGUGCAAAACAGGUGAGGAUAUAGCCAAAAGACAGCUGUCUGUAAGCCAGGGGACUUCCAGACAGACACUGAAUCUGCCACCACCUGGAUCUUAGAUUUCCCAGCCUCCAGAACUGUGAACAGUGCAUUUAUGUUUGAG